CAGUUUAAGAGUAGAGCAAAAUAAGGUAAAGGAAUUAGCAUUCAGUCAAUUAAGGAAGUCAUAGGUUCACAGAAUCCAAUCAUAUAAAAGAGUUCAGAAUAGACCAAUUAUACGGGCAAUCAAAUAAGGCAGGGAUGAUAAUUAAGGGCAUAAAAAAGGAAACACACAAGAUAUAUGCAUACGGAUCUCUAGCAGAGUGAAUCAAUCAGCCAAAA
rnacentral:lncRNA from 1 species